AACGCGAAGAACCUUACCAGCUCUUGACAUGGGACGUUUGACCUCGAGAGAUCGGGGUCGUCAGUUCGGCUGGCGUCCACACAGGUGCUGCAUGGCUGUCGUCAGCUCGUGUCGUGAGAUGUUGGGUUAAGUCCCGCAACGAGCGCAACCCUCACCUUCAGUUGCCAUCAGGUUAUGCUGGGCACUCUGAAGGAACUGCCGGUGACAAGCCGGAGGAAGGCGGGGAUGACGUCAAGUCCUCAUGGCCUUUAUGGGCUGGGCUACACACGUGCUACAAUGGCGGUGACAGAGGGAAGCAAAGAGGCAACUCUUAGCCAAUCUCAAAAAGCCGUCUCAGUUCGGAUUGUUCUCUGCAACUCGAGAGCAUGAAGCUGGAAUCGCUAGUAAUCGCGGAUCAGCACGCCGCGGUGAAUACGUUCCCGGGCCUUGUA
rnacentral:rRNA from 1 species